AUUGAACGCUGGCGGCAGGCCUAACACAUGCAAGUCGAGCGGAUGAAGGGAGCUUGCUCCUGGAUUCAGCGGCGGACGGGUGAGUAAUGCCUAGGAAUCUGCCUGGCAGAGGGGGAUAACGUCCGGAAACGGGCGCUAAUACCGCAUACGUCCUGAGGGUGAAAGUGGGGGAUCUUCGGACCUCACGGUACUAGAUGAGCCUAGGUCGGAUUAGCUAGUUGGUGGGGUAAAGGCCUACCAAGGCGACGAUCCGUAACUGGUCUGAGAGGAUGAUCAGUCACACUGGAACUGAGACACGGUCCAGACUCCUACGGGAGGCAGCAGUAGGGAAUAUUGGACAAUGGGCGAAAGCCUGAUCCAGCCAUGCCGCGUGAGUGAAGAAGGUCUUCGGAUUGUAAAGCACUUUAAGUUGGGAGGAAGGUCAGUAAGUUAAUACCUUGCUGUUUUGACGUUACCAACAGAAUAAGCACCGGCUAACUUCGUG
rnacentral:rRNA from 1 species